GACGAACGCUGGCGGCGUGCCUAAUACAUGCAAGUUGAGCGCUGAAGGUUGGUACUUGUACCAACUGGAUGAGCAGCGAACGGGUGAGUAACGCGUGGGGAAUCUGCCUUUGAGCGGGGGACAACAUUUGGAAACGAAUGCUAAUACCGCAUAAAAACUUUAAACACAAGUUUUAAGUUUGAAAGAUGCAAUUGCAUCACUCAAAGAUGAUCCCGCGUUGUAUUAGCUAGUUGGUGAGGUAAAGGCUCACCAAGGCGAUGAUACAUAGCCGACCUGAGAGGGUGAUCGGCCACAUUGGGACUGAGACACGGCCCAAACUCCUACGGGAGGCAGCAGUAGGGAAUCUUCGGCAAUGGACGAAAGUCUGACCGAGCAACGCCGCGUGAGUGAAGAAGGGUUUCGGAUCGUAAAACUCGGUUGGUAGAGAAGAACGUUGGUGAGAGUGGAAAGCUCAUCAAGUGACGGUAACUACACAGAAAGAGACGGCUAACUACGUG
rnacentral:rRNA from 1 species